rnacentral:rRNA from 1 species
UUAAGAUACUAAGAGCAUACGGUGGAUGCCUUGGCGAUAUCUGCCGACGAAGGACGUGACAAGCUGCGAAAAGCUGCGGAGAGAUGCAAAUAAUCGGCGACCCGCAGAUAUCCGAAUGGAGCAAUCCGGCUGUGAUGAUGCACAGCCAUCCAUGCCCAAGAGCAUGAGAAGGGAACCGGGCGAACUGAAACAUCUAAGUAACCCGAGGAAAAGAAAUCAAACGAGAUACCCCAAGUAGCGGCGAGCGAACAGGGAAGAAGCCCAAACCGGUGAAGGAAACUUUACCGGGGUUGAGGACCAUCAGACCCGCGAAGAACUUUAGCCGAAACUGUUGGGAAACAGUGCCAAAGACAGUGAAAGCCUGGUAGGCGAAAAAGAGAAACGCGGAGAUGGCACCGGAGUACCGCGGGACACGAGAAAUCCCGUGGGAAGCAGGGGGGACCACCCUCCAAGGCAAAACACAGAUAUCGACCGAUAGCGCAUAGUACCAUGAGGGAAAGGUGAAAAGCACCCCGGGAGGGGAAUGAAAGAGAACCUGAAACCGUAUGUUUACAAGCAGUCGGAGACCGCUUAAUAAUAAGGUCGACGGCGUGCCUAUUGAAGAAUGAACCGGCGAGUUACGAAGCCUGGCAAGGUUAAGCAGGAAAUGCGGAGCCGAAGCGAAAGCGAGUCUUAAGAGGGCGCAAGUCAGGAAGCGUAGACCCGAAACCACAGUGAUCUACCCAUGUCCAGGUUGAAACACAGGUAAAAAUGUGUGGAGGACCGAACCUAUAUCCGUUGAAAAGGGUUAGGAUGAGGUGUGGGUAGGGGUGAAAUUCCAAUCGAACGUGGAGAUAGCUGGUUCUCCCCGAAAUAGCUUUAGGGCUAGCCUCAGGGAAAAGAUUGCAGGCGGUAGAGCACUGAUCAGGAGAGGGACCUACCCGGUUACCAAACCCAGUCAAACUCCGAAUGGCUGCAAUCAUACCUGGGAGUCAGACUGCGACUAAUAAGGGCCGCAGUCAAAAGGGAAACAGCCCAGACCAUCAGCUAAGGUCCCCAAUGCCGUGCUAAGUGGCGAAGGAUGUGGCAUUUCAUAAACAACCAGGAUGUUGGCUCAGAAGCAGCCACCAUUUAAAGAGUGCGUAAUAGCUCACUGGUCGAGAGACGCUGCGCCGAAAAUGUCCGGGGCUCAAGCACGGAACCGAAGCUAUGGCAUGAUAGCAAUAUCAUGGGUAGGGGAGCGUUCUUAUAAGGAAGAAGCAUGACCGGAAGGACAUGUGGACAAAUAAGAAGUGAGAAUGCCGGUAUGAGUAUCGAAAAGAAAGGUGAGAAUCCUUUCCACCGAAAGCCCGAGGGUUCCUGAGCAACGAUCGUCGACUCAGGGUAAGUCGGGACCUAAGCCGAGGCGAGAAGCGUAGGCGAUGGACAACAGGUUGAAAUUCCUGUACCGGAUCAAGUCGAUUGAGCGAAGGAGCGACGCAGGAGGGCACAUGAUCGCGCGGCUGGAAGAGCGCGUCCAAGUGCGUAUGUUGCAGCAGAGGAAAACCCCUGCAGCUAAAAGCAGAGACAUGAUGGGGAGUUAAAGGAAACUUUGACGAACUCAUGGAUCCCACACUGCCAAGAAAAACUUCUAGCGAGACAAGAUCCGCCCGUACCGUAAACCGACACAGGUAGGCGGGGAGAGAAUCCUAAGGUGCGCGGGAAAACCCUCGUUAAGGAACUCGGCAAAUUGCAUCCGUAACCUAGGGAGAAGGAUGGCCCCCGGUCAGUGAAGAGCAGAAACGCUCAGAGCUAAAAGGGGCGGCAGAAAAGAGGCCCAAGCAACUGUUUACCAAAAACACAGGUGCCUGCGAAAGCGAAAGCUGAAGUAUAGGUGCUGACGCCUGCCCGGUGCCGGAAGGUUAAGGAGAGAAGUUAGCGAAAGCGAAGCAUCGAACUGAAGCCCCGGUGAACGGCGGCCGUAACUAUAACGGUCCUAAGGUAGCGAAAUUCCUUGUCGGGUAAGUUCCGACCCGCACGAAAGG